UGCCAGCCGCCGCGGUAAUACGGAGGGGGUUAGCGUUGUUCGGAAUUACUGGGCGUAAAGCGUACGUAGGCGGACUGAUCAGUCAGAGGUGAAAUCCCAGGGCUCAACCCUGGAACUGCCUUUGAUACUGUCAGUCUUGAGUUCGAGAGAGGUGAGUGGAAUUCCAAGUGUAGAGGUGAAAUUCGUAGAUAUUUGGAGGAACACCAGUGGCGAAGGCGGCUCACUGGCUCGAUACUGACGCUGAGGUACGAAAGUGUGGGGAGCAAACAGGAUUAGAUA
rnacentral:rRNA from 1 species